UGAAAAAGUGGCAACAUUAUUUCAAGAAUAUUAUUUAUCAAAUGCUCAUUAAAAUGUGCUGAGGGAAUUAAUCACACGUGUUAUGUUCGCAGGGUGUUGGUUCUGUAAUACAAAUGGGAACAGGUAAUCAUUUUUUAUUGCCCUAACUGAACUCUGUUGCUGACAUUUUUAGACAGGGAUUCUGCUGAAAUAUAUCCCUGUUUAAAUCAGUCUCCUCGUAUUUUGUUCAAUUUGUCUAGUUUCCAAAACACUCACCUACAGCGUUCCUUCCAGCUCGUACAUCUCAUUCUCCCUCUCUUACUUACAGUUUUGCUCAACGUCUCGUUCUCCAAAUUCCUCUUCCAAUGGGAGCCAAAAGCUCCAGCCAACUACUGUUUAGAUUAGUGGCGAUUGUGAUCCUUCCCUGAGGAAAGUGUGGUCUUUCCAAAUGUAUCACUGGACACCUGCUGGGCAGGUCUGUGACCUAUCUCCCUGUCGUUCUUACUGAAAUGAUAUUUCAAUGGAAUGUGCUGCUUUAUUUCGGAGUAAAAUCAGACGAUGACUCCUGAGUUGAAAGAAGGAGGAGAAUCUCAGUGACCCACAGCUUAGAGAGCCGAAUGUUGUCCAGCAUUUUACUUUCCAUAUAUCUGUCAGAUUAAUUCUGUUAUUGGCUAACCAUCUUGUUUGUAGCAUUUAUCUGUUUCUUUGUGCUGCCUGUUAAUAUUAAAGAACACAGAGCAGCAAUGCCGCCACUU